rnacentral:lncRNA from 1 species
UUCCAAAAGCAUCAUUAAUGGAUUUAAUUGCAUCAAAUUAAGAAUUUCUGUGAACAAAGUUAGCACAAAGAUGUUGCAGAGACAUGAUAUUUAUCGUGUCUAAAAUCACAAAGAAAUUAUUAUCUAGACUAUACCAGGAACUCAUGCAUAAGCAUAGAAAUCCCAAAUUUUAAAAAUGAGUAGAGGAUAUUUGAGUCACUUCAUAGUCAAAGAAACCCAAAGUUUUAACAAAAUAUAUGAUUCAUGCCCAAUAUCAUUAGUAAUCAUAGGAAUGCAAAUUAAAACAAAAAAGAGAUAUCUCUUUAGACCCACCAGAUGCUAAAUGCAGAGUGUUGAGUGAAAAAAAUAAGAAACACAAGACAAUGCAUGUAAAUUAAAACUACAAAAAAUAAUGCAUGGUUUGCACUAAUGCUUUAAAGUAGAUGAAUAUAAACCAAAUAUAUAUUAAGAAAUUGGAAAAGAGGACCAAAGGUCUUGCAAAAACCGAUGACCACCAGAUGACCAGAAACGCAGAGGAUUACUAAGGAACUCUUGGCUCAUUAAAAGAAAGCAAAACCGUAGUAUGCAGGUGAAAUUACACUAUGUCAUCUUGGACUGCCAAUUCCACCGUGGGAGUCCUGGCACAGGCCCCCCAGCUCAGGAGCCCGCCGUCAUCUAAGCUCUUCGCUUCCCUGUGAAUCUCCUGGCUCCCCACAGUCUUAACCAUCCUUCUGUAGGCUGAGGAUAAGAUGGCUCUUCAUCUAGAUUUCCAAAUAUUUCUAUUCCUACAGAACUGUAGCAUUGGAAUAAGCAAGCGAUGCUUUUUCUUUAUAUAAAUUGAAAUUUUGACCAAAACUUUUUUCUCUUAUUUUCUUGUAUCCUCUUUUCUACCCAUUCCCUCAGCAGAAUUUAUUGCCUCCAGGAAGGGAUAAUAUAGCAGAGAAGCGGAGAAAAUCUUUUUGGUGUUAAAAGUAUAACUAUGAAGCACAUAACUUCUAGGCCAUAAAAUAUUAUAUUUGGAAAACCAGAUAAAGAGCCAGGUGAGCUGUCCUCAAACUACAUAAAGAUGGUCAGGACUGCGGGGAACGAGAGCUGCCACAGCAUGAGCAGACCUUAGAUGACAGUGGGCCCUGAACUCUGUGUCCUGUAGGAAGUCCUCCCCAUGGGAACUGAGAAUCCAAGAUCAGACGGAACAGGGCCCCUAGCCCCAGGGGAGAGUCUGGAGUCAGCAGGAUGCUUGCAUUCCUGGUCCAUCAGCCUGGCUCCCUAGCAUGGCACCGGGACAGACCUGAGGCCACCUCACAGAGCAUCCUGCAAUAACGCAGGAACAGCCCUUGUGCCUGACAGCAGAGUGAGACAGCCGCUGUGAGAGCCCUUCGUCAGAUCAUGGUGGAUGCACCAGGGGCCCAAAGUCACAAUGGGAAUAGGGACACCUCAGAUAAGUCUAUGCGAAUGAAGAAUGAUUUCAAGGAAAGGACUUCUCCAUCCUCCUUAAAUCUUGCCCUAGAACUUAGACAUAACUCCACAGAAAGGAACAGUCGUUCUCAGUGUGGGGCUAUUUUGCCCCCCAGCAGAUAUUUGGCAAUGUCUAGAGACAAGUUUUGGUGGUGCUACUGGCAUCUGGUAGGCAGAGGUCAAGGAUGCUGCUGAACGCCCUGCAGUGCGCAGAACAGCUCCCAAAACACAGAAUGGCCCAGCCCAAAAUAUCAGUGAUCUCAAGGUUGAGAAACACUUCCCUAAACUGAAAUUAGGUUUUGCCUACUUGGCAUAAUAAGAGAUUUAUAAUAGAAAUUGUUCAUUUAUUUAAAAAUAAGGAAAAUUAUGCCUAAUUCAUGGAUUGAAAUGUGCAACCACUUGUUUAUGCUAAGGAAUAUAUUCCCUCUCUGAUAUAAAAAAAGUCAACAAUCAUCAGUUUUGCAUUUAGUGAAAAGUUUUGAGGGUGGAAGAAAAGCUGAAGUAGCUUUAAAGGAAGAUAAAGUAACCCCCACACAAGAAGGAAAGAGAAAUGGAGGCAAGAAGACAGAUGCUAGAAGCUCAGAACAAUAUCCGAAGCAAGUGAGAGGAGGAAAGCAAGGCAGAAGAAAAUGAUGUUCAGCUAAGUCAUCCAUGGAGCACCAUUCAGCAGAGAAUAAGCCGUUCCUGACCAAGGACAAUGGGGACCAUGAGCAUUUCUCAGAGAGGUGAGGUUAGUUUUCUUCCAGGCUCUGAAGUUUACUAAGAAGAGGGCACGAAAACCCCAAGACUACCAACUUGCCAGGAAGAUUAUCUGCAGAAGGAAAAACUGGAAGCACUUUCAAAAAUAGUACAAUUGAAAACAAAAGCCAGAAACAAUGAAGACACGGAAAAGGGAGAAAAGGAGAAGGGAAGGAGGGAGGGAGAGAAGGAGAGAGGAAUGGAGGAGAGGACAGGAGAGAGAGAGAGCUCUAGAAAUAAUUGCAAUGAGUAAUAAGUAAAUUACUCUUAUGUUAAUGACAUGCCAAAGUGUUCCAUUUUUAUGUGAAAGCAAAUAACUAUGAAGUAUCUUCAACAUAAACACUGAUUAAAGGAGAUUAAAUGUCUUGGGAAGAAAUGUCAUAACAUUACACAGUGUCAGUUUGCGGUGUUCUCAAAAUGUUAAUGACCUCCAGCUUCAGCUGCUUCCAUUACCGUGGAUCUCAGGGGAGAGAAACCUCAGCUGCAGGGCUCCCGGAGGAGCGCAGAGCAUCCUCCCUUCUCCUCGCUGUUAAUAG